CACGCAGUAAACGAUGAUUACUAGGAGUUUGCGAUACAAUGUAAGCUCUACAGCGAAAGCGUUAAGUAAUCCACCUGGGGAGUACGUUCGCAAGAAUGAAACUCAAAGGAAUUGACGGGG
rnacentral:rRNA from 1 species